rnacentral:rRNA from 1 species
UGGGGAAUUUUGGACAAUGGGCGAAAGCCUGAUCCAGCAAUGCCGCGUGUGUGAAGAAGGCCUUCGGGUUGUAAAGCACUUUUGUCCGGAAAGAAAUCCUUGGCUCUAAUACAGUCGGGGGAUGACGGUACCGGAAGAAUAAGCACCGGCUAACUACGUGCCAGCAGCCGCGGUAAUACGNAGGGUGCAAGCGUUAAUCGGAAUUACUGGGCGUAAAGCGUGCGCAGGCGGUUUGCUAAGACCGAUGUGAAAUCCCCGGGCUCAACCUGGGAACUGCAUUGGUGACUGGCAGGCUAGAGUAUGGCAGAGGGGGGUAGAAUUCCACGUGUAGCAGUGAAAUGCGUAGAGAUGUGGAGGAAUACCGAUGGCGAAGGCAGCCCCCUGGGCCAAUACUGACGCUCAUGCACGAAAGCGUGGGGAGCAAACAGGAUUAGAUACCCUGGUAGUCCACGCCCUAAACGAUGUCAACUAGUUGUUGGGGAUUCAUUCCCUUAGUAACGUAGCUAACGCGUGAAGUUGACCGCCUGGGGAGUACGGUCGCAAGAUUAAAACUCAAAGGAAUUGACGGGGUCAUAGCUGUUUCCU